rnacentral:misc_RNA from 1 species
UUUCCGUAGGUGAACCUGCGGAAGGAUCAUUAUUGGAUUUUGAAACUUCAGGCUGCUGCUGGCUCUCCUCGGAGGGCAUGUGCACGCUUGUUGUCCAUUAUUUCUCCCACUGUGCACAAAUUGUAGACCUUUCAGUAGGCCUAUGUUGUUUUUCACAAUCUCUGAAUGUAAUAGAAUGGUUUUGAAUCUUGGGAAAUACAAUAUAACUUUCAGCAACGGAUCUCUUGGCUCUC